CCUACGGGAGGCAGCAGUGGGGAAUAUUGCACAAUGGGGGAAACUCUGAUGCAGCGACGCCGCGUGAGUGAAGAAGUAAUUCGUUAUGUAAAGCUCUAUCAGCAGGGAAGAAAAUGACGGUACCUGAGUAAGAAGCCCCGGCUAACUACGUGCCAGCAGCCGCGGUAAUACGUAGGGGGCAAGCGUUAUCCGGAUUUACUGGGUGGAAAGGGAGCGUAGACGGCAGUGCAAGUCUGGAGUGAAAGGCGGGGGCUCAACCCCCGGACUGCUCUGGAAACUGUACGGCUGGAGUGCAGGAGAGGUAAGUGGAAUGCCUAGUGUAGCGGUGAAAUGCGUAGAUAUUAGGAGGAACACCAGUGGCGAAGGCGGCUUACUGGACUGUAACUGACGUUGAGGCUCGAAAGCGUGGGGAGCAAACAGGAUUAGAUACCCUUGUAGUC
rnacentral:rRNA from 1 species